UAGGUACAAUGAGUUGAUGCUUGAUCUAUUUCAAGAGGAAAGUCUGGGCUACCGUAAGACAGGGUUCCAUUUAACGAAUGGCCGCAGUAAUGCGAGGGAAAGUGCAACAGAGAAUAGACCGCCAUUUAUGCUGAUUGCUCUGUACACUGAAUUGUGAAAAAGCGGAAGCUUUUUUGUACUUCAGUGCCACAGCGGCUAGCGUAGCAAUAAAGGGACUUUGUCUCUUUAUGCGUUUAAAUAAGUGGUAAGGGUGAAACGGCGGUGUAAGAGACCACCAGUAUUUAUAGUAAUAUAAGUAGCUUGUAAACCCAACCUGGUAGCAAGAAACAGAUGGUUAGCGUCUUACAAUGCUACUGUUUCGCUAGAGUUGAUUUGUAAAAAUCAAAGUAGAUUAAUAUCACUAUAACAAAACCCAGCUUACCGUUGUACCUAUCAU
rnacentral:RNase_P_RNA from 1 species